rnacentral:rRNA from 1 species
CCUACGGGAGGCAGCAGUGGGGAAUAUUGCACAAUGGGGGAAACCCUGAUGCAGCGACGCCGCGUGAGUGAAGAAGUAUUUCGGUAUGUAAAGCUCUAUCAGCCGGGAAGAAAUAGCGACCUUUGGGUCGCCAGACGGUACCUGAUUAAGAAACCCCGGCUAACUCCGUGCCAGCAGCGGCGGUAAUACGUAGGGGGCAAGCGUUAUCCGGAUUUACUGGGGGUAAAGGGGGCGUAGACGGCAGCGCAAGUCUGAAGUGAAAUGCCGGGGCUUAACCCCGGAGCUGCUGUGGAAACUGGGCAGCUAGAGUGCAGGAGAGGUAAGUGGAAUUCGGAGUGUAGCGGUGAAAUGCGUAGAUAUUAGGAGGAACACCAGUGGCGAAGGCGGCUUACUGGACUGUAACUGACGUUGAGGCUCGAAAGCGUGGGGAGCAAACAGGAUUAGAUACCCUGGUAGUC